CCUACGGGAGGCAGCAGUGAGGAAUAUUGGUCAAUGGACGAGAGUCUGAACCAGCCAAGUAGCGUGAAGGAUGACUGCCCUCUGGGUUGUAAACUUCUUUUAUAAAGAAAUAAAACGAGGCACGUGUGCCUUUUUGCAUGGACUUUAUGAGUAAGGAUCGGCUAACUCCUUGCCAGCAGCCGCGGUAAUACGGAGGAUCCGAGCGUUAUCCGGAUUUAUUGGGUGUAAAGGGAGCGUCGAGGGGGUGUUAAGUCAGUUGUGAAAGUUUGCGGCUCAACCGUAAAAUUGCAAUUGAUACUGGCAGUCUUGAGUACAGUUGAGGUAGGCGGAAUUCGUGGUGUAGCGGUGAAAUGCUUAGAUAUCACGAAGAACCCCGAUUGCGAAGGCAGCUUACUAAACUGUGACUGACACUGAUGCUCGAAAGUGUGGGUAGCAAACAGGAUUAGAUACCCGGGUAGUC
rnacentral:rRNA from 1 species